GGAAUUCAUUCUUAUUAUCGUGGCACAAUCCAGUCACCGCCCAGACCCUGGGCUAUAACAUCGGAUGCAAGCGCUUGAUGGUCGAUGGCACUUCUCGCCGUCGCAAGGAGGCUGCAGCGGACGCACCCUCAUCGCUUCCUCCGGUUUGCGCUUCACAACAUAUUUGACGCACCUUGUAAAACACAAAUAAAAUGUGAUUUCUAUUCGACAUUUGAUCGAACACAUCUCGUGUCCUCAGAUCGCAUCCCGCGGAGCGUAACUAUACAAUACUUCUCCACGCAAAAGCCCUACGACCCACUUGGCUUCAUUGAAGACCCAGAUGAUGUUCAUCAACUACUCGAACCGGGAGUUCUUAAAUUGCUCGAAGUUGCCAAAAAAUUCCCCUCGGAAGAGGAAGCCAUGGCCUUUCUUGACUCGUCUGGUGUCAAACCCAACAGGCAUUUGGUUUGUUCGGCGAUAUGGGCGCUGAGAGAUGAGUGGAAAGUGGCGUUUUUGGUAUUCAAAUGGGGUGAGAAGUGUGAGUCCAGUAGUGAGAAAGCUCGCGGUAUGGUGAUAUGGGUACUGGGCAAUCAUAGAAAGUUCAGUGUUGCUUGGGGAUUGAUUCGUGGCUGGCAUCAUUCUUCGGUGGAAACUCAGCGGGCAAUGUUAAUCCUGAUGGAUCGAUAUGCUGCUGCAAAUAAUCCUGCUAAAGCAAUUAGAACAUUCCACAUUAUGGAGAGACUCAAAGUGUCUCCUGAUGUGAAAACAUUCUAUGUCCUCCUUAAUACUCUUUGUAAACAUGGGAACAUUGAGGAGGCUGAAGACUGCAUGCUUUUAAAUAAGAAAUUUUUUCCAUUGGAGACUGAAGGUUUCAACAUAAUUCUUAAUGGUUGGUGUAGUAUAUCUAUUGAUAUAAUUGAAGCUAAGAGGAUCUGGAGAGAAAUGUCGAAGUGCUGCAUCAUUCCAAAUGCAACUUCUUAUACUCACAUGAUUUCAUGCUUCUCAAAGGUUGGGAAUCUCUUUGACUCACUGAGGCUCUAUGAUGAGAUGAAGAAAAGAGGAUGGGUCCCAGGCCUGGAGGUUUACAAUGCUUUGAUAUAUGUUUUAACUCGUGAAAAUUGCUUGAAGGAAGCUCUCAAACUCCUGGAAAGAAUGAAAGAGAUGGGUUUUAAACCAGAUUCUGCUACUUAUAAUUCCCUCAUAUGUCCGUUAUGUGAAGCCAAAAAACAGGAGGAAGCAAGAACUAUACUGGCUAGGAUGAUUGGGGAAAAUAUCAGUCCAACUAUUGACACAUACCAUGCAUUUCUUGAGGGUGCGACUUUGGAAGGAACUUUGGAAGUUCUUAAGCGAAUGAGGAGAGCUGGUUGUAGUCCUGAAGGGGAGACCUUUCACCUUAUUCUUGCUAAUUUCUUCAAAUCAAAGCAAGUUGAUAAUGCUUUGAAGAUUUGGGUAGAAAUGAAGCAACAUGUAGUUGUUAAUUCUGGACAUUAUGCUGCACUGGUCGAAGGACUGGCAAUGUGCGGGCAGUUUGACAAGGCUAGGGAAUUUCAUGCUGAGAUGAUAUCAAAGGGGUUUUUAGAUGAUCCAAAGUUCAAAACACUCUUGAAGGCACAAGGCUAAAAUGGUAGAAGAGAUGAGCGUUACUAGAUUAAGUCGUAGAAAGGGCUCUGUGAUGAAGCGGCAAAAAGGUUGAAGUCAAUUGAUGCAAAACAGAUCUGUUGAAGUCUCAAUUGAAACAGAGUAAAUGUAUUAUGCUGUAGUAGGGAAAAAUUGACAUUGCCAGGCAGGAAUUGCCAGUUCUGCAAAUACAAAUAAAAGCUCCUGGCAUACAAUGGGUGUUGUUGGAAACCACUGAAAAGAAAUAUUGUCCCGUAGGUAUUGUGUAGAAGCUUUAUAUCUGUACCAGCCAGCUACCUUGUACACAAUGAAUUCUUUGAGCAGAACUUCUCUUCAUGCUUGAAUCCAUCACCAGUGGUCUACUUUUUAUCCUCAAGCUAGUACAAACAAAAUGCUUGAGUUGAUUGAGGGAUACAACCCAAUAAAAGGAAUGUAGUCAUAAAGGUUGAUCUCUUUCCCCUCUUCAUAGUGGGGCGUGUCAUUGCAAUUCGUUAAAUCUAGUCCUAGUUUAAAGCAUGUGUGGGUGAUGACAGCCAUGCCCUUUUUUUGGCUAAUUAUUAUGGCUGUCCACUGCUAGUCAGCUGGAUGAUGAGAAAAAACCUCUACACAUAUGGAAGGCUCCUGAUGUUGGACUAAUCUGCAACCAUGCACGGAUCCUGAUAAAGAAAUCUAUUCCAUCUCCUACUUUGCUAGAAAUGAUGCAUAUUUGCCUAAAAUUCAAAAAGUCGAGGGAAUGAAGCUCAGAUGAGGUCGAAGUGGUAGACCGCAAUGGUACUAUGAUGACAGAAGACGUUACCCUCCGAGACACGGGGGUAUGAGGGUAGCCUCGGUUGGUGAAUAACGGCCACCAAUGUGAACGACAUCCAUGCUAGGUGAGUCAUCCAAGUUAUCUUACAACAAACCAGAGGCUAUAAAUAAGACCCCCCCCCCCCAACAGGAGCAAAGAACACAUCAACUGCAAGUUGUGUCCUCUUCUGUUUUUCUAUUUGUUGUCAUUUCGCCAUUGAAGCGCAUCUAGUGAGUGCGUGGUUGGACAAAUUGUGUAAUCUAAUUGUUGUAAUAAAACUUUGUUUUAUCUCUUCAAUCGUUUCUUUUAAGAA